AGAAGAGCGCCAUCCAAAGGUCAGAGCAGCCAACAAAGCAGAAUAUCUGUUCCGGAGGUGGCUCUGGCAAGGUGUCCUCCCAACCUACUUUUGGAACCCCACAAGGAUGGCAGGCAGCAGAUGGGUGAGAGGAUGAGGUGACACAGCCAUCCUUGGAGGAACAAAGACACACAUUUAGGAGGGGUUGGAGAAGGCGCUGUGCAUGCCACCUUUGGAACCGGAUGAGCGUGGAAGUUGAGUUGAGUUGGUAGCGAAGGG